AUUGAACGCUGGCGGGAGGCCUAACACAUGCCAGUCGAGCGGAGCGGCGGACGGGUGCGGAAGGCUAAGGAAUCUGACCGGGCGUGGUGGAUAAGGUCCGGAAACGGGCGCUAAUACCGCAUCCUAUCAGAUUAGCCUCGGGCGGAUUAGGUUGUUGGUGGGGCAAAGGCCUACCAGGGCGACGGUCCGUAACUGGUCUGGGAGGAUGAUCAGGCACACGGGAACUGAGACACGGUGCGGACUGUGACGGGAGUCAGCAUUAGGGAAUGUUGGACAAUGGGCGGAAGUCUGAUGCAGCCAUGCCGCGUGUGUGAAGAAGUGCUUCGGAUUGUGAAGCACUUUAAGUUGGGAGGCGUUACCAACAGAAUAAGCACCGGCUAACUUCGUGCCAGCAGCCGCGGUAAUUC
rnacentral:rRNA from 1 species